rnacentral:hammerhead_ribozyme from 1 species
GCAUCGCUGAGGAGUCCCAUAAUAGGACGAAACGGCUGUCUAGUAC